rnacentral:rRNA from 1 species
GCUUGUCUCAAAGAUUAAGCCAUGCAUGUCUAAGUAUAAACUAUUUUAUACUGUGAAACUGCGAAUGGCUCAUUAAAACAGUUAUCGUUCAUUUGGUAAUCAUCUACUACAAGGAUAACUGUAGUAAUUCUAGAGCUAAUACUUGCGUUUUCCCGACUUCUCGGAAGGGAUUGCAUUUAUUAGAUACAAACCAAUCGGUGGUUUACCACUGCUAUAUGGUGAUUCAUAAUAACUAAGCGAAUCGCAUGGGCUCGCCCGGCGAUAGACCUUUCAAGUUUCUGAUCUAUCAGCUAUUGACGGUAGGGUAUUGGCC